GUCCUUAGUUACCAGCACGUUAUGGUGGGCACUCUAAGGAGACUGCCGGUGGACAACCGGAAGGAAGGUGGGGAGUGACGUCAAGUCAUCAUGGCCCUUACGGCCUGGGCUACACACGUGCUACAAUGGUCGGUACAAAGGGUUGCCAAGCCGCGAGGUGGAGCUAAUCCCAUAAAACCGAUCGUAGUCCGGAUCGCAGUCUGCAACUCGACUGCGUGAAGUCGGAAUCGCUAGUAAUCGUGAAUCAGAAUGUCACGGUGAAUACGUUCCCGGGCCUU
rnacentral:rRNA from 1 species